GGAAGAGAAGGAGGAGGAGGAGGAGGAGGAGAAAGUGGCUCUCAGCGGCCGGUCGGAUUAAAAGUAACCAGACUCGUCCAGAAAACUGCGUCCAGGAAGGAAGUGACAGAAGACGAAUGGGAAAAGGAGAACAGCUCACAGCGUUUGAAACAUCGCGGCACCACUUUCAGAUAAAAACAUAGACCUGAAUGGCAUCAUCCAGUAUCCAAGGAAACCAUGCUUGCUUGAAGAGUGAGCAGGUGAGCAAAGAGACAAGAUUACAUGUUUAAACCAAGAAAAGAAUCUUGAAAAAGCAUUGAAAAGAACAACUUUCAAGUCAAAAGAAUCAAGGUGAAGAGAAUGGAUACUCAUGCCCAUGUGAAUUUGCUGCCCCAAGUCUACUGGAGGAUCAAGCUGCAGGUUUCAAUAGCUAUAGCCUGAAGAAUCUCUGUAAUGAACUAAAACAAUCAGUAAAAGAUCAGUUGCAGUGGAAGACAUUAUACUCUAGAUUUUUCUAGUAUUAUUAAAUUUGAAAAUGAUUUAUUCCAAAUUUUAACUUAGCUUUUAAUUUUACUAGUGUCAAAAUGUUGUACUACUUUGGACAACUGAUUUUUCCAAUAGAGAGUCAAUAGCAUCUUUGCAGGGUGGUUUAAAAGCCAAUAAUUUAAUCCAUAUUCUACUAAAACUUUUAAUAUAAGCAUUUUACCCAGAUGUAUUUUUUCCUUGUUUUAGAAAAUCUGAUUUUAAUUGCUAAAACUCGUUUUUAAAUAUUAAUUCAAUGAAAGAAAUGCUAUGGUUUUCUACUUUUUCAUUUCUUAAACUCAAGGGAAAACAUGGGUGAAAAACAAAAAAUUGUUCUGCAUAGAGUCUUCUUUAAUGUCUCACUUUGGUGAUGUAUGAAAUAAAAACCAAAUUGUUUUAACCAGCUAAAAA
rnacentral:lncRNA from 1 species